rnacentral:rRNA from 1 species
AACGCGUGGGAAUAUGCCCUUCACUAUGGAAUAGCCUCGGGAAACUGAGAGUAAUACCAUAUACGCCCUUCGGGGGAAAGAUUUAUCGGUGAAGGAUUAGCCCGCGUUAGAUUAGAUAGUUGGUGGGGUAAUGGCCUACUAAGUCUACGAUCUAUAGCUGGUUUGAGAGGAUGAUCAGCAACACUGGGACUGAGACACGGCCCAGACUCCUACGGGAGGCAGCAGUGGGGAAUCUUAGACAAUGGGCGCAAGCCUGAUCUAGCCAUGCCGCGUGAGUGACGAAGGCCUUAGGGUCGUAAAGCUCUUUCGCCAGAGAUGAUAAUGACAGUAUCUGGUAAAGAAACCCCGGCUAACUCCGUGCCAGCAGCCGCGGUAAUACGGAGGGGGUUAGCGUUGUUCGGAAUUACUGGGCGUAAAGCGCACGUAGGCGGAUUGGAAAGUAGGGGGUGAAAUCCCAGGGCUCAACCCUGGAACUGCCUCCUAAACUAUCAGUCUAGAGUUCGAGAGAGGUGAGUGGAAUUCCAAGUGUAGAGGUGAAAUUCGUAGAUAUUUGGAGGAACACCAGUG